GAAUCCGCUAAGGAGUGUGUAACAACUCACCUGCCGAAUGAAUUAGCCCUGAAAAUGGAUGGCGCUGAAGCGGGUGACCGACACCAUGCCGUUUGGGCAAGAAAGAGCUCAAAUGAGUAGGAGGGCGUGGGGAUUGUGUCGAAGCAUGCGUGCAAACGUGUGUGGAACGGUCCCUAGUGCAGAUCUUGGUGGUAGUAGCAAGUAUUCAAGUGAGACCCUUGAAGGGCGAAGCGGGGAAGGGUUCCACGCGAACAUUGAUUGGGCGUGGGUGAGUCGUUCCUAAGCCGAGUGGCAAUUGCUAAGUAGCGGCGAAAGGGAAGCGGGUUGACAUUCCCGCACACGGAUGUGGAGGCGGUGACGCACUACUGGGACGGAGACGCUGGCGACGGCGCUGGGCAGAGUUGUCUUUUCUGUUUGACCGUGCGAAAAAGCUGUGUGGAAUCCGCUUGUCGGGAGAAACACGCUUAUUCGGGCAGAGCGCCGGGACUUUUCCGGCGUCCAGCUCGCCGUCGACGGCCCUUGAAAAUCUGUCUGCUGAAUUAAUCCACGCCGUGGCGUACCGAUCACCGCAUCAGGUCCCCAAGGUGAACAGCCUCUGCUCGAUAUGAAAAAUGCAGGUAAGGGAAGUCGGCA
rnacentral:rRNA from 1 species